UGGAUGCCUCCGAUGUAUGUCGUAAUGAUUUUGAUGGAUAAUGGCUAUGAAAAUAAUAAGUUUUGGUUGGAAAUGUAAGUUUGAAACGAAAGAUAAUUCGUCGUGUCGAAAGGUGGCUAAUAAUGCCAUAGGGUAUGAUUUAGUGUUUAUUGAUGUUUGUUGUUGUUUGGAUGUCUCCUCUGGGUUGUUGUGUUGCUAAAUUGAGCCGAGCUAAGUCUCGGGGAUGUCGUAUAUACAGAGGAAAUGCUGCCGAAAUUUCGGUAGGCAAUUAUGUGUAAAGUUAGAAUAUUGAAAGAGUGGAACUAACCAAAUGGUAAACUUGACCAUUUCCAGAUUUUGGGCGAAAUUUGGAUUGACGCCAAGAGAGCAUAAGGCGCCAUCGAGGUACAGACGCGCCAGGUGACACGCCGCCAGCGUAGGUUCUGACUCUGCCAUUCGAAGAGCUCCUUUGACUCGGAGCAUAUCUUUUGGUGGUUGUAGGUUGGUGACGAAUGAAGAGGACGACUUCCGACGAUGAGGAUGGGGGUGCCAAGAAGGCCCCCAGGUUGUCACCGGGGCCGAGUAGGCAGGGCCCCAGUUACUCGAUCGAGACGGAUCCUUCGGAGGAUUCCCCGGAGGAUAGCUACGAUACGGAUCCGUCGGAGGACCCAUCUACGACUCCUCCAGAGUCCCCGAACCCUGGAGCAGAGGAUCCCGUGGAGGAUGGCUACGAUACAGAUAUCUCGGAGGAUUUGGCGAUGACCCCUCCGGAGCUUCUUACCUCUGAGGAGGAGGAUAGUCAUGAGGCAGGCCCGUCGGAGCAUUCUUCUGGGAUGACGCAGGAGGAGAUUUUCAAGUAUGCACCAGCUCUUAUUAUUAGGGAGAACCUUGAUAGCCCGGCCACCUCGGAGAGUGCUAUGGAUUUCUCCUGUUC